rnacentral:rRNA from 1 species
UGCUUCUCGAAUUAUAUGGGAAGUUUAUUUCCUGCCCGGUGAUAUUUACCAUUUUACGGCCGCAGUACUCUGACUGUGCUAAGGUAGCAUAAUAAUUUGACUUUUAAUUGAAGUCUGGAAUGAAAGGAUGAACGGGUAAAACCUGUCUUAUAUUAAAAUUAUUGAAUUUGCUUAAGGGGUGAAAAUUCCCCUGAAAAGAAAAAAGACGAGAAGACCCUUAGAAUUUUUUAAAAAGCUAUAUAUUAUGGUUGAUAUUUUGUUGGGGUGACAAUUUCAAGAACAUAUAAUAAAAUUAAACUUCUAUAUAUAUAUAUUUAACAUGACGGGAAAUUUAUUCAUGAAAGGGAAAAUUACCUAAGGGAUAACAGCAUAAUAUUAUAUUAAGAUUAUGACCUCGAUGUUGGACUAGGAGCUAUAUAGUCAGAAACUAAAAUAGAUUUGUUCUGUUCGAACAAUUUAAUCCU